rnacentral:rRNA from 1 species
UAACAGCGUAAUUUUUUUUAAGAGUUCUUAUCGAAAGAAAAGAUUGCGACCUCGAUGUUGGAUUAAAGUUUAAUUUUGGUGUAGGUGCUAAAAAUUUUAGGUCUGUUCGACCUUUAAAACUUUACAUGAUCUGAGUUUAAACCGGUGUGAGCCAGGUUGGUUUCUAUCUCUAAUAAAUUGAAAUAUUUUAGUACGAAAGGACCUAAUAUUUAAUUUAAAAUUUUUAUAUAGAUUAUUCUAAAUUA